rnacentral:rRNA from 1 species
GACGAACGCUGGCGGCGUGCCUAAUACAUGCAAGUCGGGCGGAGCCCGAGGGGAGCUUGCUCCUUUUCGGGCUCAGCGGCGGACGGGUGAGUAACACGUGGGUAACCUGCCCUAUAGACCGGGAUAACUCGCGGAAACGCGUGCUAAUACCGGAUAACACCCCGAAGCGCAUGCUUCGGGGUUGAAAGAUGGUUCUGCUAUCACUAUAGGAUGGGCCCGCGGCGCAUUAGCUAGUUGGUGGGGUAACGGCCUACCAAGGCGACGAUGCGUAGCCGACCUGAGAGGGUGAUCGGCCACACUGGGACUGAGACACGGCCCAGACUCCUACGGGAGGCAGCAGUAGGGAAUCUUCCACAAUGGGCGAAAGCCUGAUGGAGCAACGCCGCGUGAGCGAAGAUGGUCUUCGGAUCGUAAAGCUCUGUUGUAAGGGAAGAACAAGCGCAGCAGUCACUGGCUGCGCCCUGACGGUACCU